UACUCAAUCUGUAAAUAUGAAGAAAGGGA
rnacentral:piRNA from 1 species